rnacentral:rRNA from 1 species
GAUGAACGCUAGCGACAGGCUUAACACAUGCAAGUCGAGGGGCAGCGGGGGAGGAAGCUUGCUUUCUCCUGCCGGCGACCGGCGCACGGGUGAGUAACACGUAUGCAACCUGGCCGUCACAGGUGGAUAACCGGAAGAAAUUCCGACUAAUACAGCAUAACACUCCUGAGGGACAUCCUUCGGGAGUCAAAGGAGGCGACUCCGGUGACGGAUGGGCAUGCGGCGCAUUAGGUAGUUGGUAGGGUAACGGCCUACCAAGCCGACGAUGCGUAGGGGUUCUGAGAGGAAGGCCCCCCACACUGGUACUGAGACACGGACCAG